rnacentral:rRNA from 1 species
GUGAGGAAUAUUGCGCAAUGGAGGCAACUCUGACGCAGCCAUGCCGCGUGCAGGAAGAAGGCGCUACGCGUUGUAAACUGCUUUUAACCGGGAAGAAACCCCAGGACGUGUCCUGGGUUGACGGUACCGGAGGAAUAAGCACCGGCUAACUUCGUGCCAGCAGCCGCGGUAAUACGAAGGGUGCAAGCGUUAUCCGGAUUCAUUGGGUUUAAAGGGUGCGUAGGCGGAGCGUUAAGUCAGUGGUGAAAUCCUGCAGCUUAACUGUAGACUUGCCAUUGAUACUGGCGCUCUUGAGUGCGCUUGAAGUGGGCGAAAUGUGCCGUGUAGCGGUGAAAUGCUUAGAUAUGGCACAGAACACCAAUUGCGAAGGCAGCUCACUAAGGCGAUACUGACGCUGAGGCACGAAAGCGUGGGGAUCGAACAGGAUUAGAAACCCGUGUAGUCC